UACAGAGGUCUCAAGCGUUGUUCGGAUUCAUUGGGCGUAAAGGGCGCGUAGGCUGCGGGGCAAGUCGGGUGUGAAAUCUCAGAGCUCAACUCUGAAACUGCACUCGAUACUGCUUUGCUCGAGGACUGGAGAGGAGAUUGGAAUUCACGGUGUAGCAGUGAAAUGCGUAGAUAUCGUGAGGAAGACCAGUGGCGAAGGCGGAUCUCUGGACAGUUCCUGACGCUGAGGCGCGAAGGCCCAGGGGAGCAAAACGGG
rnacentral:rRNA from 1 species